UUUAUCUCUCUAUACUACCAACCAUCUUUCUCUCUUGUUAUCAAAUGUCAUCAUCAUUGUUUAUUAUUAUCUCACAAAGUAGAAAGAACAAAAACCAGAGAGAAGGGCAGUCGGAGAAAGAAAACAGGGGAGGUGGAGAAAGGCGGACUCGCGGUGGUCGGCGAUGGAGUCGCGGCGGCGCCACCGCGAGGAAACUCUGAAAAAAUUAUUUUUUUUUUUUUUUUUUUUUUU